AAAGGCUGAGCCCAGGGCAGUAGAAAUUGUGGUGAGCUGGAGGGUAUGAAUGGUUAAGGCUAUUUGGAGGAGAGAGACCAGAAAGCUGGACUUAAAGAGCAGUAGAAAUUGUCCUAAUUUCAGUUCUAACAAAGAGAAAAAUAGGUAAUUAAAGCUCUAAGUAUCUGAACAACCUUCAAAGCACCAAAGACUCCCAGAAUAUGAUAAGCAAACUUUGAAAACAAAGUGUAUGAGUACUGCCCAAGAGGAUGUGUCCUUGGGAACCACAGAUGUUGGUCCCAGUGCACAGCACCACUUCCUAGCUACAUGCCAUGCCAGAAGCCUCUGUGUAGCCACUGCUGCCAUGGGUGGCAUUUUAGCAUCAAAGCCUGGCACCAGCCUAUCUGUAGUCUCGCUUACCCUGUGUUACAUCACUUUCACCAGUCAGGGGGUCUGUAACCAUUGAUACUGCACUAGUUUUCUUCCCAAAGCUACAACAUAUUCAUAAAGACGUAUGUAAGAUCAUUUACAAAUUCACACUGAAUUUUAAGUAAAUACUAACAGUUAUGCCAAAAAGAAGCCUUUCCUAAAAACAGGUCCUGUAUGUAUUUGAACUUACUGCAGACACUUUCUGACCUACUAUAGUCUUCAGCAUGUGAGGUUUUUGUUUUUUUUUUUAUGAGCUUAAGCAGAUACAGUGUGCUGUAUGGAUGAAAUCCCAUUUUCUUGCUGCUUUUGUUCUUCUUCAUUUAUUUAGUUUUCAGCCUCCCAGGUGCCUAAUCUGGUCUGCCUCCUGGUCAUGAGCUCUACUGCCAACACCAGGGAGGCGGUGGGAAUAUGUGAGCAGAAGUAAAAGGGCAAGAUGGCAUGCUUGAUGCCUCAUGAAGUCUUACUCUCAGACCUUUGUUUUCCCGCUUACUGAGCAAUUUACAUAAGAAAGACUGUGUUCAUUUGAUUUUUUUUUUUUAAGGUGAGUUGUAUUUAUUAAUUGUAAAAGUUGUUGGAAAAAUACUGCAUUUUGAGAAAAAACACAACAUUAGCAAGGCAAAAAUCACGUCUCAAAAUAUUUUAAGGUUUGUUCCCUUUUCAUUUAAUGCUAAUUCAGUUAGUAAAAGAAGGUGUGGCAAGGAAAAAAGAUAAUGAAGCCUAAAGAGUUGACUUUUCAAUUGAAUGUGAAGAUUACACUGCUUUAAACUAUGUAUAUCUUAAGAAAUCAGUAAGGAAAAGAGCUUGUUUUUUUAAUAGAUAUAUAGUGCCAAAUAUUAAGAUACUUUCAUCAGUUUAUAGGUUAAUCCAAAUGGUUUAGUAUUAUCUCUGAAGACUCAGCAUCAUGUAUCAGCAUUAUUGCACUGUUUUUACUCCUUAAUCAAGCCAGCAAAGAUAAAAUGCUCAGGUUCUUCUAUUGCUGUGCUAAGGUGUUCUGCAGGUGGAUUGGAUUUCCUGGACAAAGUGUCACCUUGGAAAGUAACUGGCAAGGAAUCACAUUCUCACAAAAUAGGCUCAGUAGGAAGGCUUUUAUUUUACAGUACAGCUGCCUGUUCUUGAUUCAAUUAUACAUCUUCCAGAGAAGGCCUUGAGAACACAAGCUCAAUCAUCAACAAAAAUAUUCACCUUUCUGUUCCUUCUUAGGCUUUGGUGCAAGUACCUUCAUAUUUAACUUGCCAUAUGCAACUCUGACCAAAUGCUGUUGACCUUCACAACUGCAGAACUGUCACAACUUUCUCCUAACAGGAAUAAACGCAAGUUCCUAAUGGCUAAAAGCUAUUAAUAUGUUUUCUUGAGCUCCUGAAGUUCCCUAUAUGCCUUAAAGUGAUUAUUAUGUUUCCUGAAAAUAUUGUCUGUGUCCAAGCACCAUGCAUAUUAUGUCUGUUGCUGGAUAAGUGCAUAACUGUGGCUGAACAAAAGAAGGGAGAAUGCAGCAGAAGGCAGAACUUCCUUUUCCAUUGGCACAGGCAUGGAGGAAAGCACCAGAAAUUUGGCCAUGAGGUUUGAACUGAAAAUCCCCAUUCAAUAUAUGAUUCAGCCAUGAACAAAUCCCACUGUCUAGAAAGAAAUUAUCUGUAAAUGAAGACAAUGAUUUGAUCAUAGUUGCUUUGAAAACGUCCAGUGUAUAAAGGCAAGUAUUUGUAAACUCCUGAAUUCUCAACAUCACAGACUCCUACCACAAGCAAGGAGAUUUGGGCAGGAUGCUGUGUCCACUGGAACACUUGUAAUGCUAUGGAACACUUGCAAUGGUACUGCUUUCUGAAACAGUAGUUCUCUGCUUUGGAUAAUUCCAGUGAGUCUAUAUUGUGAGACUAAGUAACAUAGUAAUUAAUACUAACUUCUCUGUUUCUUCACUUCUUCAAAGGAGCAAGAUGUAAGUACUUGCUACAGUCAAGAUUCCAGAUUAAGUUAUUCUGGAAUGAUACAUUCCUACUUCUAGAUAUGGGAAUUUUAGAAGGGGUUCCUUUUCUGCUAUGGUGUAGAACUAGCAUUGCACAUAAUUCCUGGACAAUAACUAGAUACAGACAGUACUUUCAUAGCUAUAUAGCAUUUUGAACCAAACCUGAGUCUGCAGCAGGGGUAAGAAAAGCUGAAGUGCUGACAAGCCAGGAAAUACAUUAACUAAUAAAUUAAGAAUAAAUUAAAAGAUCCAGUGUCCAACAGAAACAGUAUGUCAACUCAUCUGAUAUAAACUGAAAUGUCAACAGACAGUCUGGUCCCCUCGCAGUUUAGAGAAUGGACUAAAUAAAAGCAGCUGUGUGGGUAAGUACUUCUCCCAUAUUCUGGCAUGAAAUUGUUAGUUGAUCUUUAUCAGUUUUAACAACAAAAAAAAAUCAGAUGUUAAAUAAGGCCUGCAGAACAGCACUCAAGGGAUAUUUUCUGCCAGUUUGUUAAACCAAUAGCUUAAAUCAAGUGGAGUUAUUCACUGGUGGAGUUCAACAGGACCCUUCUUUUGUUGGGCUGCUCCAUUUUGUGACUCUCCUACUUAUCCUACCCCAACUAACUGUAGCUACAAUGUCCCUCUUGCCCCAGCUAUGACUGAGGAGACUUAAUAAGGCAAACCCAAUGAUAAAUAGCAAACAUGCAGUUGUCUCAUUAUAUUAAUUCAUUCUGGGGGAGAAAGGCAGAAUCUUGGAAACAUAUUUCUCUAGAGAGCAAGAGCAAUUUUAAACAGCAGAAAGCAUAACAGCGUGAUCUGUAUUACAUUACAGCUAUGUUCAAAGGGAUAGCUUGUGCCCAGUUAAACCACAAGACAGAAAGCAAUCCACAGGAAAUCAUGAGUUGCCGAUCCUAGUUCACAGCUGGAUGAAUGCUGUUCAGCAUGGCUUUCAAUUACAGAGGUGCUGUGGCAAGAGCUGUGGAAUUUAAGUUUUAUGUGAGGCAUACAGAUGAAAGUCAAGUUGUCCUUUAGUUGUAAUUGCAGUAUAGCUAGGUCUUAGGGUCCCUGUCUGCACACUUACUGUGCUAAACUCAGUAACUCCUUGGGUGGUCCAGGAACUCCUCAGCUAGUCCCUGUACAGAAAAGACGCCCAACUGACAAAGACAAGGUGACAGACCCAGUUCCUCAACACCUUCACAACAAAGGAUCUGUCUAACCCUUGUGGGAGAUCAGCUGGGGAUUUCAGACAAUCCUGAGGAUUCCUCCCAGGAAACUCCUGCCAUUCCAAGACCAAUUUCUAUGCCUAAAUGUGUCAUUUAACAUCCAGAGUGAAGACUAUGGCCCUUCCAGAGACUUCUGGUGGUAGUGGUUCCUGCUGCAGAAUGGACCAGAUUGCACACACAGGUAAAAUGCUUGUAAAUAGUCUGUAGAAACUGUUCCUGUAGAUGCAGAAAUGGCCACUCAGGACAGCCUUUUUGCACAUAGUUAACACAGUAAGAUAGUUUAGUUUAAAAUACUUAUAAUAAUGAAUAAUGCAUGUGCUGAAGAAGUUACACAGGAUCAGGGGCCAGCUGGGAUGUGAGAACUGAGCAGAGAAGCUGUUAAGGAAGUCUCAUCUGAUCCAGUGACUCGUGUUGCUAACCAGAUUGCAACCAACCAGCCUGUGUGGGAGAUCCAAACAACACCCUAUGCCAAGGUCCAAAUCAUUAGGUUUUUUUAAGCAAACACUGAUGAUUUUUUGUGCAACACUGCUAACCCAAAAACCAAAUCAGCCCUUCCAUCCAAGAAAUGCUGCAUUUAACAGUUAGUCUUUGUCUAGAUAAGUCCAAUGGUUUUCAAGGUAAACUCGUUAGCCCUGCUAGAAGUGAUCAGUUCAGUACAUAUUAUACUAGAAAAUUCAUUGCUCUCUGUUGUUUAAAAUACUAGAGAAGACUAAAUGUUAACAACUGUUUAUGCAUUGCCAGAUUUUACUGAAAUACAAGUUCUGAAGCACUUGUCAUUUUGGUCACAGUAGUACUACAAUAAAGGUAGCAAGAGACUCUAA